GUCUCGUCGAUAAAGUUCUGUUGAUUUUGGAGACGGCUGAUGGAUUUGAAGUUGAAGACGAACUCUCUUUCAGUGUCUAUGUGAGUAACACUGAGGAACCUUCUUUCUUUGUAAAAAAAAAAUGUGAUAUAACAGAGCCGCAUCCAACACCAAGUGUCGAAAAUUCUCCGUCGGAUGGAGCCAAGGAGAAGGGCCUAUUUGACGACUUGAGAAAAAUAAUCGAAACGUCAGGAAGGCCCUCAACGGAAAGAACGGGAGUUGCAACAUAUUCAAUUUUUUCCGGAGGACACAAAUUUGAAUUCUGCCAUUAUAGCCGAUGCAUCCCGCGGGAUGAAACAACCAGGACUGAUUAUACUUGGAGUGGACCAAUUCUACCUUAAAUUAGAUGAGCAUGCAGUCAAACUUGGAGUUGGUUGCGUGUCAGAGGCCAUGGGAUAUGUUUUGGGGGCUUAUUUUGUGUUUAAUUGCUCAUAUCCGCCUCUGUGGCACAUGGUUUUUUGUUUUUUUGGAAGAAGUUGUAAAUAUUCCUAAAGAACUUAGGAGCGUAAUAUCUUCAAUCACCAUUAGAAAUUUCGUGUCAAAACUUUCCAAAGUAUCUAAUUAGU